AAAAAAGGCUUCUGUUGUGAGUGGCACACAUAGGGUAACUUGAUUGCUCUUUGUGAAAAACUGACAUCAAGAGAUUUUGGAAGCAUAACAUUUUGGUAGUUGGGCAGCUAGUGAUCCUUGGUCCUGGCACCCUU